rnacentral:rRNA from 1 species
UACAGAGGUCUCAAGCGUUGUUCGGAAUUACUGGGCGUAAAGGGUGCGCAGGCCGCGCGGGCAGUCAAAUGUGUAAUCCAGGGCUCAACCCCUGAACUGCGCUUGAUACUUCCGCGCUAGAACCUUGGAGAGGAGUCUGGAAUUCUCGGUGUAGCAGUGAAAUGCGUAGAGAUGUGGAGGAACACCGAUGGCGAAGGCAGCCCCCUGGGUCAAGAUUGACGCUCGAUGCACGAAAGCGUGGGGAGCAAACAGG